AACGAACGCUGGCGGCAUGCCUAACACAUGCAAGUCGAACGAACACUCCGGGCUUUUUGGCGGACGGCUGAGUAACACGUGGGAACGUGCACUUAGGUUCGGUAUAACUCAGGGAAACUUGUGUUAAUGCCAAAUGUGCUCUUCGGGGGUAAGAUUUAUUGCUUUUGGAGCGGCCCGCGUCUGAUUAGCCAGUUGGUGAGGUAAUCGCUGACCAAGGCGACGAUCAUUAGCUGGUCGGUGAGGAUGAUUAGCAACAGUUGGGAUGAGACACGGCCCAAACUCCGACGGAAGGGAGGAGUGGGUAAUACUGCGGGCUGGGCGAAGACGUGACGCAGCCGUGUCGGGGAAAUGGUGAAGGUCGUAGGAUUGUAAUAUUCUUUGACCGGGGACGAUAAUGACGGUAACGGGUAAAGAAGCCCCGGCUAACUACGUG
rnacentral:rRNA from 1 species